UACGUAGGGGGCAAGCGUUGUUCGGAAUCACUGGGCGUAAAGCGCACGCAGGCGGAUCGAUAAGUCGGGGGUGAAAGCCCGGGGCUCAACCUCGGAAUUGCCUUCGAUACUGUCGGUCUCGAGUCCGGGAGAGGUGAGUGGAAGUCCUAGUGUAGAGGUGAAAUUCGUAGAUAUUAGGAAGAACACCAGUGGCGAAGGCGGCUCACUGGCCCGGUACUGACGCUCAGGUGCGAAAGCGUGGGGAGCAAACAGG
rnacentral:rRNA from 1 species